rnacentral:misc_RNA from 1 species
GAUGAAGAACGUAGCGAAAUGCGAUACUUGGUGUGAAUUGCAGAAUCCCGUGAACCAUCGAGUCUUUGAACGCAAGUUGCGCCCGAAGCCAUUAGGCCGAGGGCACGCCUGCCUGGGCGUCACACGUCGUUGCCCCCCCAUCUACUCCUUCGGGAUUGCGAGGGGCGGAUGAUGGCCUCCCGUGCGCCUCGUCGCGCGGUUGGCAUAAAUGCCAAGUCCUCGGCGACGCACGCCACGACAAUCGGUGGUUGCGAAACCUCGGUUGCCCGUCGUGUGCGGUCGUCGCGCAUCGAGGGCUCGAAAAAAUUGCCGGGCUCCGGCUCGGCUUUCAACGCGACCCCAGGUCAGGCGGGGUUACCCGCUGAAUAUAAGCAUAUCAAUAAGCGGAGGA